UGAGGAAUAUUGGACAAUGGACGAAAGUCUGAUCCAGCCAUGCCGCGUGCAGGAAGACUGCCCUCUGGGUUGUAAACUGCUUUUAUAAGGGAAUAAACCCCCCGAUUCUUCGGGGGCUGAAUGUACCUUACGAAUAAGGACCGGCUAACUCCGUGCCAGCAGCCGCGGUAAUACGGAGGGUCCAAGCGUUAUCCGGAUUUAUUGGGUUUAAAGGGUCCGUAGGUGGGAUCAUAAGUCAGCGGUGAAAUCUUUCGGCUUAACCGGAAAAUUGCCGUUGAUACUGUGGUUCUUGAGUAUGCUCGAUGUAGGCGGAAUAUGUCAUGUAGCGGUGAAAUGCAUAGAUAUGACAUAGAACACCGAUAGCGAAGGCAGCUUACAAGCGCAUAACUGACACUGAGGGACGAAAGCGUGGGGAGCGAACA
rnacentral:rRNA from 1 species